rnacentral:rRNA from 1 species
GACGAACGCUGGCGGCGUGCUUAACACAUGCAAGUCGAACGGAAAGGCCCUGCUUUUGUGGGGUGCUCGAGUGGCGAACGGGUGAGUAACACGUGAGUAACCUGCCCUUGACUUUGGGAUAACUUCAGGAAACUGGGGCUAAUACCGGAUAGGAGCUCCUGCUGCAGGGUGGGGGUUGGAAAGUUUCGGCGGUUGGGGAUGGACUCGCGGCUUAUCAGCUUGUUGGUGGGGUAGUGGCUUACCAAGGCCUUGACGGGUGGCCGGCCUGGGCGGGUGGCCGGCCACAUUGGGACUGAGCUACGGCCCAGACUCCUACGGGAGGCAGCAGUGGGGAAUAUUGUACAAUGGGCGGAAGCCUGGUGCAGCAACGCAGCGUGGGGGAAGACGGCAUUCGGGUUGUAAACCGCUUUCGCCUGUGACGAAGCGUGAAUGACGGUAAUGGGUGAAGAAGCACCGGCUAACUACGUG